rnacentral:rRNA from 1 species
UACGUAGGGGGCUAGCGUUGUCCGGAAUCAUUGGGCGUAAAGCGCGUGUAGGCGGUCCGGUAAGUCCGCUGUGAAAGUCGGGGGCUCAACCCUCGGAUGCCGGUGGAUACUGUCGGGCUAGAGUGCGGGAGAGGCGAGUGGAAUUCCGUGGUGAUAGCGGUGAAAUGCGCAGAUAUCAGGAGGAACACCGAUUGCGAAGGCAGCUCGCUGGAACGUUACUGACGCUGAGACGGCGAAAGCGUGGGGAGCAAACAGG